GAGAGAAGCCGCCUUGGAUGGACAGAGGGACGGAGCAGCGAGCAUCUGGCCAGUCGUGUCCCCAGCUCCCCUACAGCGGUCUCCAGCUGCUGUCUGCCCGCUGCCCGCCUGCCUGGCAUCUCUCUCCCGGUGACCUUCCUGCUGUCCUUCAGGCAGAACUCUGGGCUCAGCCCCAACCUCGACCUCCCCCAGGUCAGCCAGUCCAUCAGACAUCUGAGGCUGACUCCUGGCUGGACAGGAGGCUUGGGGUGGAUUGUCUCCGUAACCGAAAGACCCUCUCCAGCUGUGCCCUCCUGUGACUGAGAGUCUGAGAGCAGAGGCAGGAAGUGCUUCCCAUAUGGCAGGCCAGGGACUGGAGCUUAUUAUCUUACCGGACAAUCUAUAAGGUGCUAGCUGCAUUCCUGGCCUGGGAGAAGGGAGCCUGUCCGACCCCCCAUGUCAUGCUG
rnacentral:lncRNA from 1 species